AGGGUUUGAUCCUGGCUCAGAACGUACGCUAGCGGUGUGGAUUAGGCAUGCAAGUCGUGCGCGAAAGCCUUCGGGCGAGUAAAGCGGCGAAAGGGUGAGUAACACGUAACCAACGUACCCCUCAGAUCGGAAUAACCUCUGGAAACGGUGGGUAAUGCCGAAUGGUCCCAGGAGAGACAUCUCUCCGAGGGUAAACGGUGCCUUCGGGUGCUGCUGAGGGAGCGGGUUGCGGCCUAUCAGUUUGUUGGUGGGGUAACGGCCUACCAAGACGAUGACGGGUAGCGGGUCUGAGAGGAUGAUCCGCCACACUGGGACUGAGACACUGCCCAGACUCCUACGGGAGGCUGCAGUCGAGAAUCUUCCACAAUGGGCGAAAGCCUGAUGGAGCGACACCGCGUGCAGGAUGAAGGCCUUAGGGUUGUAAACUGCUGUCACGCUAUAGGAACCCAUGGUCGUUAAUAGCGGCCGUGCUGACCAAAGCGAGAGGAAGCGCCGGCUAACUCCGUGCCAGCAGCCGCGGUAAUACGGAGGGCGCAAGCGUAGUUCGGAUUUACUGGGCAUAAAGAGCACGUAGGCGGCUCGCUCAGUCAGGUGUGAAAGCCCACGGCUCAACCGUGGAACUGCACCUGAUACUGGCGAGCUUGAGGACGGAAGGGGUGAGUGGAACUCCAGGUGGAACGGUGAAAUGUAUAGAUAUCUGGAGGAACACCGGUGGCGAAAGCGGCUCACUGGUCCGUCUCUGACGCUGAGGUGCGAAAGCUAGGGUAGCGAACGGGAUUAGAUACCCCGGUAGUCCUAGCCGUAAACGAUGGAUACUAGCUUGUGGGAUCUUCGGAUUUCACUUGCGUAGCUAAUGUGUUAAGUGCCCCGCCUGGGGAGUACGCUCGCAAGGGUAAAACUCAAAGGAAUUGACGGGGGAUCACACAAGCAGUGGAGCAUGUUGUUUAAUUCGAAGCAACGCGAAGAACCUUACCAGGCCUUGACAUGUGCGGAUUAGCUGCGUGAAAGCGUAGUGACGGCUCUUCGGAGUUGGAACGUACACAGGUGUUGCAUGGCUGUCGUCAGCUCGUGCCGUGAGGUGUUGGGUUAAGUCCC
rnacentral:rRNA from 1 species